ACCGUAUUGGAGGGGAACGUUCUGGGACUGAGGAGGCUCUGGGGGCUGCAAGGAAGUUACUGACUCAGCCUGAUGUCUCUGUUUCACAUAAUCACAGAAUCACAGAGGUAGGAAGAGAACCUCAGGAGAUAUCUAGUCCAUCCCCCCUGCUAAAGCAGUUUCCCUUUCAAUAUAUUUCAAUAUAUCUGGCACAGAAGACUCAUAACUAUGAAUAAUGACAUUUGAAUGGUAUUUUAUUUCGGGUACUAAGAUGUAAAGUGACAACUUAACUUCCUUUUAUGCAAAUAGAUGCAGCUCUUUUAUAGUGGUUAUGCUGGAACUGGACACUAAAACUGCACUAAAUGUUAAAUAUUUGCUAAAUCAGUUUUCCAGCAAGUGCUGAUGACUUUUUGAUGUUUCUUUUCUUGUUAUUCCAGUGCCAUGUACUAUUUCUUUUAAGCAGACAGAAGACAGAUCUGGAAUAUUUCAAGGACAAAAGCAAUCUGUUGUCUGAUAUUAAACAGCUACAUUUGUUUACUAAAUUUCAUUUUGAUACGUACUCAAGCAAAACCAAUUUAAGCAAAGGUAACCUUUAAGGUUAAAGAAGAAAAAUGAGCAAAGUACAAUUCUUUGAAAGAACCACAAUUCUACUGGUGUGGUAGAAGGUCAGAGUUCAGAAAAACCUCUUCAAAAAGUAAAGCUGGAAAAAGGUCUGCAAUAACCACCGCAGAAAAUACGUUCUCCUUAACUAGAAAGUACUUUUCUCUAUCCCCAAUUAACACUUACAAAGUCACCUGGUUCAUAAGAAUUCUCUUUGAAUACAAAUUCAUUUGUUCCUAAAUUGAAUGUUUCUCUCUACAUAUACUGCAAAAUUUCCUGUUUACAUGGGCACAUACAUACUAGAAAAUGUUCAAACCCAAAGUGUUUUAAAAGUUUGAUUUUUUUUUUUUUUUAGCAAAGACACAUUAAGGAUAUGUUUCAGCAUUAUUUGACUUUGUAUAACUGCAAAACAACUUUCAGAAGCUGCUGUCAGACUUAUUCCUGGCCUGAUUCUUCCCUAAAAUAGAAAGAUAUUGGACUGCAUUGAAGCAGUCAUUUUUCAAAAUUAAAUAUACGUGACCUAUAAUUACUCUUCCUCAGCUACAGUAGCACAUGGGUUCUGCUCAGGCAAUCAGUUAUACACAUGGAGAUAUUCUCCUGCACCUCAGCAAGCACAGGAGAAGGUUUACUGUUAAUCUUAGAUAUUAGCAGAAAUGGAGCAAUAAACCAAUAAUAAAAGGCUUCUCAGGGUAUUCAGUUCUGUUCAAGAGGCGUUAAUUACUUGAUUUACAAUUCCUUUUAAUACCUGCCAUGUGCACACUGCUGCAUUUGCAUCCUAUAGCAGUGAAACACUUCCACUCAGGUGCACUUAAUUAGCAAUUCCUGUGAGAAAUCAGUCAUCAGUUUAAGACAACAGCAACACAUUCUGCUCUCAAGGGUAAGAAAAGUUAUUGCAUGGAGCAGCAGUUUUCUAAGUCUGGUUUUUCAAUAGUAAAAUCAGGAUACAUCAGGGAAGAACACACAGACCAAGGGGUAUAAGAGGUUCCCUGGUGCAGUACUUACCUAGGAUACUCUGUUCCCCAGAAGAAGGGCUUUUGCAGUUCUCCUGCUGGAAAUCCUAAGGUUUUGCUAACAAGCUUUCCAUCAGGUGGUACUUUCAGAACAUGAUAGAGAAGAUGUUUGAGAAGAAGAGGAGAUCUCCCUCCUUCAAGACUUCAAAGGCAGCUACAUUCUGCAUUGCAAGAACUUUAUUUUCUUACAUGGCGCGUAUGUGCAUUUGUAUGUGUUCUGUCAAUAAACAGCUACUGUCGAAAUCAAAAAAA